GCCGGGACCAGAAGAGGGAAGGAAGGAAGGAAGGAAGGAAGAGGAGAGAGGACAGAGGGGAGGAGAAAGGAAGGAAGGAGAAGACGGAGAAGAGGGGUCCGGAGGGGCACAAGAGGAGACGGCUGCACUCGCGCGACAGCAUCCACAGGCCACAGUGGGGACCAGUGCUGCCUCCGCCGCUCUUCGGAUGGUGACGGGGCCUCGCCGCGGCUGCAGUCCCCUUGAGCCCCGGCUCCGCAGGCCUUCAGCGCCGGAGCCCCGCAGGAAUCAUGCCCAGGUCCUUCCUGGUCAAGAAGGUCAAACUUGACACGUUUUCUUCGGCAGACCUCGACAGCUCCUACGGGCGUGCCCGCAGCGACCUCGGAGCACGACUGCAAGAUAAAGGAUACCUCAGCGACUACGUGGGGCCAGCGUCCGUCUACGAUGGCGACGCGGAGGCGGCGCUGCUCAAAGGGCCGUCCCCGGAGCCCAUGUAUGCUGCGGCUGUGCGGGGAGAGCUGGGGCCGGCGGCC
rnacentral:lncRNA from 1 species